GAGAGGAAGGGAGAAAACAUCUCCAAGAACUUAAACCCAAAAUUCAGCAAAUUGAAGAGGUAAAUGAUGGUAAAUCUCAUGCAUGAACUCUAAUCUACGAUCAUCUAACCUUAUUAAACAUAAGGUGUAAAGGAAGAAGGGUCAAGCAAGCAAUCUGAAGUCACAAGGAACACAAGACCGAGGUAAAUCCUCUUGUUAGGUUGAUAGCAAGCUUGGAACGAACACAUCACCCGCCCUCAAGCGCUUCCGAAGUGAAUAUAUGGUCAAAUGGGUCAAAAACGUUUGGUAGUAAACUAUUAUAGUUAAAGUUUAGGUGAUGUAAAAAAAAUUGUUUUGUACUUACGUAAUGCUUUAAC